rnacentral:lncRNA from 1 species
CCUUUAUUGAGCAUUUCUUUGACCCUCCCUCACCCACCAACCACCAAAUCACUGUGACAUCUUGGCUAUUAUACACUUCCUGAUCUAGAAUGAGCUCGAAAGGAGAGGCUAACCCCCGCCCCCAGUACAGUACUUGGCAAAUAGUAUGUUGAUCCUUAAAACUUCUUGCCCUUUUAUCUCUCGUAACAGACCUAGGGCUAGACCCCUGACCCCAUCUGUUAUUCAGGGCACUGACAUUUUCUACAAGCCCACUAACCUUUGGAGGAUGUGUCCAGAGGAGCCUAACUCUGCUUUUUAAAAA